GCGGGGUGGAGCAGCUUGGUAGCUCGUCGGGCUCAUAACCCGAAGGUCGUCGGUUCAAAUCC
rnacentral:tRNA from 2 species